UGCAGUCGAGGGGCAGCACAGGUAGCAAUACUGGGUGGCGACCGGCAAACGGGUGCGGAACACGUACAGAACCUUCCUUCGAGCGGGGGAUAGCCUUUCGAAAGAGAGAUUAAUACCCCAUAGUAUAUUGUUGAGGCAUCUCAUUAAUAUUAAAGAUUUAUCACUUGAAGAUGGCUGUGCGCCUGAUUAGGUAGUUGGUUGAGGUAACGGCUCACCAAGCCUUCGAUCAGUAACUGGUGUGAGAGCACGACCAGUCACACGGGCACUGAGACACGGGCCCGACUCCUACGGGAGGCAGCAGUAAGGAAUAUUGGUCAAUGGACGAGAGUCUGAACCAGCCAUGCCGCGUGAAGGAUGACGGCCCUCUGGGUUGUAAACUUCUUUUAUCUGGGACGAAAAAAGGGCUUUCUAGCUCACUUGACGGUACCAGAGGAAUAAGCACCGGCUAACUCCGUGCCAGCAGCCGCGGUAAUACGGAGGGUGCAAGCGUUAUCCGGAUUUACUGGGUUUAAAGGGUGCGUAGGUGGGUCUGUAAGUCAGUGGUGAAAUCUCCGAGCUUAACUCGGAAACUGCCCUUGAUACUAUAGGUCUUGAAUUAUCUGGAGGUAAGCGGAAUAUGUCAUGUAGCGGUGAAAUGCUUAGAUAUGACAUAGAACACCAAUUGCGAAGGCAGCUUACUACGGAUUGAUUGACACUGAGGCACGAAAGCGUGGGGAUCAAGCAGGAUUAGAUACCCUGGUAGUCCACGCCCUAAACGAUGGAUACUCGACAUCAGCGAUACACUGUUGGUGUCUGAGCGAAAGCAUUAAGUAUCCCACCUGGGAAGUACGAUCGCAAGAUUGAAACUCAAAGGAAUUGACGGGGGUCCGCACAAGCGGUGGANCAUGUGGUUUAAUUCGAUGAUACGCGAGGAACCUUACCUGGGCUAGAAUGCGGUUUGACCGUAGGUGAAAGCUUAUUUUGUAGCAAUACACAGAUCGUANNNGCUGCAUGGCUGUCGNCAGCUCG
rnacentral:rRNA from 1 species